CACCAGUUGUGUCGUUUCAACCUCUUUGCCUGCUUUCCACUUCCAACGGGCUCCAAAGUUCAUUUCUUGAAACCCAGGAGGGUACCCAAUCAGGACAAUUGUAUAUCAAUUUCCCCCAGUCCAUUCUACUACCUUCACGAUACGAGUCGCUACGAAGGAAAGAAAAAUAAAUAAAAAUGGAACCACGUGGAUGGAGGCAAAUUCCAGAAGUUCUCUGUUAGUAAAUCACGCGACUAUCAGACAGAGCAGAAACGGUAUCUAUGUGGGGUACCCCGCCAAGCCAGAGAGAAAGAGAGAGAGAGAGAUCAGAGGGGAACAGGAAAAAUUUACACCGGAGACACGUUCUGGAGCUUCUAAUGCUGUGCCCACGGGGGCCACAAAUUGAUACGGUAUUAUGCGAAUUUGUUCUACUUUCCAGCGAUUCCAGUGAGGCCUUAAUCCUUUGCCGUGUUAGGUUGGAUGCAACAUGCACCCAAUUAAAACCCGCAAGGACAAAACAAACGCCACAGGAAACGGUCAUAUUGGUAGUGUAUGCUGCGCUAGCUGCCUCGACGUUAUACACACACACAUAGCAGCUCGAACGGCGUUAGAAACACUUAUCGGGAAAGGCAGUACUUACUCUGACUCGACCUCCGCAACAGUGCACUUGUACUGCGCCGUUGAGAAGAGACAAAUGUCGGCAAAUUGCCGCACGG